CGCCUCCUGUGGUAGCCGGCGGCGAUGCACGGUAGUGUCCUCGAGCACGGCGUGCACGCAUCGUGCUGCGAAUGUUUUACGAGUCUCGCGCGGUGCGUUAGACAAAAACGCGUAGUAUCGUCGCGAGACGAGUGACGGGCCAAAGUGCAUCCCUUCGAGAUUCCCGGUGCCGGUGUUUUCGAGGCUCGGCUCAAACGCUUCGUCGAUAGCACGCGUAGUGUAUGGGAAACAGGUUCUUAACACUUCAUUCUCUUCUAUAUUACACGAUCGUACAAAUCAAUCGCCUUCUAACAAGCCACAUUAACCUCAAGUGAUUUCUAUUUUCUUACGAAGCGCGAAAGAAGUAAUUAGUGUGUUUAUAUCGACGUAAAGAUACAAAAAGUAAAAACGAAAAAAAAAGCAAGAAGUAGAAGAGGAAGUAAAAAAAUAUUCGAAGAGCUUAGGUUCAGAAGAGGAAGACAAAACAUUAAGAGCUAUAGUAAUCUAAUUAGUGUACAAAGUAUAUCUGAAACAAAAAGAAAAAAAAAAGCUAAAGUCCGCCAGUGCCAAAUCGAAAGACGAGAAUAACAAAAGGGAAACAAAGACGAUUAUAAUAACAAAAAGUAAAAAAAAAAAAAAAA